rnacentral:rRNA from 1 species
GAGUUUGAUCCUGGCUCAGAUUGAACGCUGGCGGCAGGCUUAACACAUGCAAGUCGAACGAGGUUAGGGAGCUUGCUCCUGAUACCUAGUGGCGAACGGGUGAGUAAUGCUUAGGAAUCUGCCUAGUAGUGGGGGAUAACUUGGGGAAACUCAAGCUAAUACCGCAUACGACCUACGGGUGAAAGGGGGCGCAAGCUCUCGCUAUUAGAUGAGCCUAAGUCGGAUUAGCUAGUUGGUGGGGUAAAGGCCUACCAAGGCGACGAUCUGUAGCUGGUCUGAGAGGAUGAUCAGCCACACUGGGACUGAGACACGGCCCAGACUCCUACGGGAGGCAGCAGUGGGGAAUAUUGGACAAUGGGCGAAAGCCUGAUCCAGCCAUGCCGCGUGUGUGAAGAAGGCCUUUUGGUUGUAAAGCGCUUUAAGUAGGGAGGAAAAGCUAAUGGUUAAUACCCAUUAGCCCUGACGUUACCUACAGAAUAAGCACCGGCUAACUCUGUGCCAGCAGCCGCGGUAAUACAGAGGGUGCAAGCGUUAAUCGGAAUUACUGGGCGUAAAGCGCGCGUAGGUGGUUACUUAAGUCAGAUGUGAAAGCCCCGGGCUUAACCUGGGAACUGCAUCUGAUACUGGGUGACUAGAGUAGGUGAGAGGGGAGUAGAAUUCCAGGUGUAGCGGUGAAAUGCGUAGA